GUGAGACCUCAAAUUUAUUUUCCAAAUACUGGAAUUCCCAGGCUGGAAAUGACCCCACACAGUUUCAUCUUUACCUCCCACAGGGUGGACAGCUCAUCAGUCUCGCCCCCUGGGGUGUACGCUGUACUGUGGGCUGUAAUCACAGCCUUCACCCAGUGAGGUCAUGUCAAUGGGUGUGCAACCAACUCUAAGUGUGUGUGUCACAACCUUCUCUAAUAUGCAGAGCAAAAUAGUAAAAACACAGGACUUGGGGCUGAAAAAUUCAAGACCCCAAUUUCCCACUUAUUAGCUCUGUUGCACCGGCCACCCUUCUAAAGUCAAGGUAUACACAUUGCAGAUAGAAACUGGAGGGAGAAAGAAAAUAGUAAUGGCUAAGAAAAUAGUACUAUUUAUUGCUAAUUAUGUGCCUCCUAUAGUGCUUGGCAGCUUACUUUCAGCAUCUCUGUUAAUUCUCACAUUAUUAAUUUUCUACAUAUUUUACAAAAAUGAAGCAGAGAACUCAACCUCAGAGUUCAUGGCAAUUACAGAUCAACGAAUGUCAUUUUGGAAAACAGUACAUCUACAGAUAUUUUCUAUGGAAACAUUGUGGAACAAUGAUAUAGACACCACUUAGAAAGAUGAGCUGAAAUUCUAGUCUUGCCAUGUGAUUAAUAACCAGUGACGCAAUGCCAGAAGUGUUACUGUGCUGCACACCUACGCAGCAUGAACACACUAGCUUAUAUUAGGACCUUAAUAAUAAUCAUCAUUACUAUGAGGUAACAGCAUCAUUACUUAACCUUACACAACAUUUAGAGGUUACCAAGAUCCCUUUGGACGACACUACACAACAUUUAGAGGUUACCAAGAUCCCUUUGGACGACACUACACGUUUCAAGUCCCACUGUGACUCAGAGCAUGUGUUCAAUCAGUGGCCCGUAGAAGCCCCUUCAGGACUGUGCCGCUGGCUUUUAUUAACGCUAUCAGUUGCCAGCAGAUUUAUAAUUAGGUUCCACCCACCACACACUUGGCAACGCCCCCCUCACACCGCCCCUCCCGGCUGGGGCCACCCCCCCCGCCCCGCCCCGCCCCCCAGUCCCGCCCACCUGCCAGCACCGCCUCCACCCCACCAGGCCCCACGCAAUGCCUCCCUCAUAGCCUUCUGCCACUGUACAUGCUCCAGGCCAUCUACGAGCUUUUUUUCCUUCAAGCACCUCCUACCACCCUCAACAGCCUCCCACCCUCAAAUCUCAUAUGCACAGCCUCCUCCACCCUCUCACUUAGGAACCCACCCUCCCCCAAAUCUAUUAAGAUUCUGUUUCCCACGUGACCCCCAGAUGUGCACAUUUUGAACCCUGUCCCACAGCCCCCACCCUCUCCAGGGAAUAUGGCGCCAUCGCGCGGCCACUGAGACGUGGUGCAGAGGCAAGCAGCGGUCCACCUGGUGCCUGCACAGCGGAGAACACGGGGCGGGCUCGGUCUCCCUGGACACCAGAGGCGGUGGCCCACUAAUCCAGCCCCGCUGGCACUCACGAUGGUGCAUGCGCAGCAAGCAAAGCCCACCCCCUGCCAUUCAAGAUGGCGCCUGCGCAGUAAGCCUCACCGCCACCUGUCGGUCGGCGGAGCUCUAGGUGAGCAGAGCUCUGCAGCCCCUCCCCCGGCCCGCCCCCUGAAGCCAGCCCCACGGUCAUUCAAGAUGGCGCCUGCGCAGUAAGCCUCGGCGCCCC
ensembl:lncRNA